rnacentral:misc_RNA from 1 species
CCUUGGCCCUGUAAAACUUCCCUGCAUAAGUAAGGCAUACAUAUGAAGGCAUGUAGAUAAGUCACUUUAACCUUCUUCCCAUGAUGAAUAUUUGCAUAGGUAAUAAGUUAAAGAGCAAUUAAGAUAACAAAGAGACACUAGAAUAUAAGCUAUAUAUAUAUAAGAGCUGUGAUAGUGAUAAAAACCCCAAAAACAGCAAUCCCAAUGCACGCACAAACUAUAAAAAUCCUUUAAAAAAUAGUAUAAAAAAAAAAAAGCAUACAGAAAAGUAGAAUAUUUCUAGAAAAGUUUAAAAAAUUAAGAGUUCAGCUCCUUCAGUUUUAAGGAUACAAUGUUAAUUAUCUUUACCAGUAUCCCCUUUUCCUUUCCAUCCCCAUGUCCUUCUCCAUAGACCACCAAACAUACAUUAAAGGAAGGAUAAACACACACAACUUGAAGCAUUCAUUAAUCUAUAAGGGGUUAAAAACAUUCAAGUUAAUAGCAAUAUCUGAAGAAGAACCUGAAAAUGAC